rnacentral:rRNA from 1 species
CCUACGGGAGGCAGCAGUAAGGAAUAUUGGUCAAUGGACGAAAGUCUGAACCAGCCAUGCCGCGUGAAGGAUGAAGGCCCUCUGGGUUGUAAACUUCUUUUAUAGGGGACGAAAAAAGGGAAUUCUUUCCCACUUGACGGUACCCUAGGAAUAAGCACCGGCUAACUCCGUGCCAGCAGCCGCGGUAAUACGGAGGGUGCAAGCGUUAUCCGGAUUUACUGGGUUUAAAGGGUGCGUAGGUGGGCAGUUAAGUCAGUGGUGAAAUCUCCGAGCUUAACUCGGAAACUGCCAUUGAUACUAUCUGUCUUGAAUAUCCUGGAGGUGAGCGGAAUAUGUCAUGUAGCGGUGAAAUGCUUAGAUAUGACAUAGAACACCAAUUGCGAAGGCAGCUCACUACGGGAUUAUUGACACUGAGGCACGAAAGCGUGGGGAUCAAACAGGAUUAGAUACCCUGUAGUCCACGCCCUAAACUAUGGAUACCGCACACACAGCACUACUACUGUUGUGUGUGAGAGAGANA